rnacentral:rRNA from 1 species
CACGCCCUAAACGAUGCGAACUGGAUGUUGGGUUCAACUUGGAACCCAGUAUCGAAGCUAACGCGUUAAGUUCGCCGCCUGGGGANCAACGCGAAGAACCUUACCUGGUCUUGACAUCCACGGAACUUUCCAGAGAUGGAUUGGUGCCUUCGGGAACCGUGAGACAGGUGC